GACGAACGCUGGCGGCGUGCCUAAUACAUGCAAGUAGAACGCUGAAGGAGGAGCUUGCUUCUCUGGAUGAGUUGCGAACGGGUGAGUAACGCGUAGGUAACCUGCCUGGUAGCGGGGGAUAACUAUUGGAAACGAUAGCUAAUACCGCAUAAGAGUAGAUGUCGCAUGACAUUUGCUUAAAAGGUGCAAUUGCAUCACUACCAGAUGGACCUGCGUUGUAUUAGCUAGUUGGUGAGGUAACGGCUCACCAAGGCAACGAUACAUAGCCGACCUGAGAGGGUGAUCGGCCACACUGGGACUGAGACACGGCCCAGACUCCUACGGGAGGCAGCAGUAGGGAAUCUUCGGCAAUGGACGGAAGUCUGACCGAGCAACGCCGCGUGAGUGAAGAAGGGUUUCGGAUCGUAAAGCUCUGUUGUAAGAGAAGAACGAGUGUGAGAGUGGAAAGUUCACACUGUGACGGUAUCUUACCAGAAAGAGACGGCUAACUACGUG
rnacentral:rRNA from 1 species